rnacentral:rRNA from 1 species
CACGUAGGGUGCAAGCGUUGUCCGGAUUUAUUGGGCGUAAAGGGCUCGUAGGCGGUUCGACAAGUCGGGUGUGAAACCUCCAGGCUCAACCUGGAGUCGGCACUCGAAACUGUUGUGACUAGAGUCCGGUAGGGGAGCAUGGAAUUCCUGGUGUAGCGGUGGAAUGCGCAGAUAUCAGGAGGAACACCAGUGGCGAAGGCGAUGCUCUGGGCCGGUACUGACGCUGAGGAGCGAAAGCAUGGGGAGCGAACAGG